rnacentral:rRNA from 1 species
CUAACGAUUGAUCUAGUUACUUAGAAAGAUGAAGAUUAUAAUAAUAAAAGAAGUAGAAUAAUAAUAAAAGAAUAUAAAAUCUAUAACUUUAUUUAAUAAUGAUAAAUAAAGCAAAAUGAGUCUGAACAAAAAGUAGUGCCAGCAGUUGCGGCUAUACUACGGAGGCGAACGUUAAUUAGAAGGCUUAAAGAAUCCGCAGGAUGUUAUAUAAUGUUAUAUAAUAGAGUAAUAAGAAUAGAUAUAAGAAUAAUUUAAAUGAAGGAUGAAAUGUAUAAGAACUAAAUUAGACUGACAAAGAUUGAAGAUAUAUAUCUAGAAAUGUACUGACAUUGAGGGAUGAAGGCAUAAGUAGUAAUCCGGAUUUGUAACCCGAGUAAAUUUAUGCAGUAAACGAUGAAUACUAUUAUUAUGAAAAGAAAAAGAAAUAAUAAUGAAGUGAAAACGAGAAGUAUUCCGCCAGGUGAG